GUAGGAAAAGUCAGCAAGUGCAUGCAGUUACAGAGCAGACUAGUGACAGUGACUCAUAUGAGGAUGUCAACUGUAUAACUGAAGUAAAUAGAGAGGAUGAAACUGUAAACCAGGUUAAAGACAGCCACAGUCAGGGCCAGCAGCUCUUUGCAGGAAUGAAGAUUGGGGAAAAGUUAGUUAACUUCCAGAUAGACUGUGGGGCCACCUGUAAUAUCAUCCCCAUCAACCUACUAAACCCAGAUACACAGUUAGAGCACACUGAGAAAGUGCUAGUGAUGUAUAACAAGACCAAGUUGACUCCUCUGGGUACAUGUAAGGUUAAGGUCAGAAACCCCAGAAACAACAAACUAUACAGA